rnacentral:rRNA from 1 species
UACGAAGGGUGCAAGCGUUACUCGGAAUUACUGGGCGUAAAGCGUGCGUAGGUGGUUUGUUAAGUCUGUUGUGAAAGCCCCGGGCUCAACCUGGGAAUGGCAAUGGAUACUGGCAGGCUAGAGUGCGGUAGAGGGUAGUGGAAUUCCCGGUGUAGCGGUGAAAUGCGUAGAGAUCGGGAGGAACACCAGUGGCGAAGGCGGCUACCUGGGCCAGCACUGACACUGAGGCACGAAAGCGUGGGGAGCAAACAGG